rnacentral:misc_RNA from 1 species
UUUCCGUAGGUGAACCUGCGGAAGGAUCAUUAAAAAAUUGGACUCCAUUGGUGAGUUCAUUAAUAAUCCUACCCUUUGUGAAUUUGUUUGUUUGAAUAAUUUUUUUUCCAAAAAAAAUUAUUGAAUGUCUUUCCCUGUUUUGGUGGAGCUUGUAAAGUGAAACCAGGCAGGGGAAUGGCAAACAAUAAUUAUUUUUGAAAAAGACCUUUUUUAAAAUUAAACUUUUUGUAUUCAUUUGUCUAAAAUUAUUUUUAUAAUAUAAAAACAACUUUUGACAAUGGAUCUCUUGGUUCUCGCAACGAUGAAGAACGCAGCAAAAUGCGAUAAGUAGUGUGAAUUGCAGAAUACGUGAAUCAUCGAAUCUUCGAACGCAUAUUGCACUUUUUUAGUUUACUAAAAAAGUAUGUCUGUUUGAGUAUCAGUAAAAUAUUCUCAUAAAAAAUUUAUUUUUUAUGGUUAUGAGUGUUUUACAACGAUAACAAGUUGUUUCACUUUAAAUUCUUUGUUAUCAAAAAAAUCAUUAAAAGCUAAUUUUAAAGAUUUUUUAAAAUUGGAUAAAAUUUUCCCGUAAAAAGGAAUAACCUAAACAAUUUUAAAAAAUUAAAAUUGGUUUGAUUUUUCUUGAUUUAAAAAGGAAAAAAAGUAAAAAUUAACUUGAUCUCAAAUCAGAUAAGAGUACCCGCUGAACUUAAGCAUAUCAAUAAGCGGAGGAAAAGAAACUAACUAGGAUUCCCUCAGUAACGGCGAGUGGAGCGGGAAGGGCUCAAAUUUGAAAUCUUCAAGGUUUUACCUUGACGAAUUGUAGUUUAAAGAAGUGUUUUCUGUUGGAGUUUUGGUAAAAGUUCUUUGGAAAAGGACAUCAUAGAGGGUGAGAAUCCCGUAUUUGACCAUUAUCUCCAGCUUUGUGAUACACUUUCAAAGAGUCGGAUUGUUUGGGAAUGCAGUCCAAAAUGGGUGGUAAAUUUCAUCUAAAGCUAAAUACUGGCGAGAGACCGAUAGCGAACAAGUACCGUGAGGGAAAGAUGAAAAGAACUUUGAAAAGAGAGUUAAACAGUACGUGAAAUUGUCAAAAGGGAAGCGUUUGACACCAGUGUUGUUUUCUCGAAAAUCAAUUAAAAAAGGCCGGAUUUUGUGUUGUAUUGACUUUAUCAGCUUUCUGCACUUUUUUCUUGUCUUUUUUAAUGCACUUUUCGUUUAACAAGUCAACAUCAAUUUCUUUUGUUGUAAAAGGGUCAUUGGAAGGUGGCUUUCUUUUCGGAGAAAGUGUUUAUAGCCUUUGGCCUCUGCAAUCGGAGAGAUUGAGGUCUGCAGCGUAGAUCCUUCGGGGUUAGAUACAUUUGUGCUAAGUUAUAGCCUUUCAUAGACAACUUGUUGACUAUGAUCAGUCAUGUAGCUUACUCGCUUAUGCUAUUUUACCUACGCUUAGGAUGUUGAG